CCCUUUCCAGGCAAAUCACAGGUAUAAUUUCUCCUCUUUACUUUUAAAAGUAUUUUCCUGUAUUACAACUCAAAAAUGAACUGUUUUCUCUUUGCUUUUUUAAAAUCUGUUUCUGGAUCGUUUGUUGUAUUAAAAAUACAUGUAUGUAUAUAAUAAAAAAGAAAGAAAAUAAUAGAGAAUAAAAAUAGUAAAACCUUUGAAUCUGUUGUUUUCGUAUUGAACCUCUGUAUUUUUUAUUGCUUCUUUGUGUGUAUUUUUCAGAACGUAACUUUUACAAGUGAAAGGAAAGGCUUUAUAGCCUUGGUCCCUUACAUAUUUUGGGAAAGAAAUCUAAGAUUUCUUUCCAUUCUAUGUCUUCUAUAUCUUUGACUGAUAUAUUGUGAUUUUCUUGCCAUUUCUGCUUUGCUUUUUUUCGCGUAUCUGCUGUUUGUUUCCUUUUCUUGCAGGUAUCAUCGAGGAAUCCGGCAGUGACCGUGCUGGUGUGGAUUCGCGCGCUGAUCACGGAGGCAGAGUCACGGCACUGAUGGAGGGUAGCUGAAACAAUGAGAGUUGAAGAGGCGCAACCCUUAGGCUGAUUGCGGCGCGAACCCUAGCUAGGGUUUCUCUGCUGCUGAAAAUAAGUUAGGCUAAUUGGGCCAAUUAAAUAUUGGGCUAGUUUAGUAUAUCUGGGGUAGGGUAUAGCUGGGUAUGGUUGUUUGGGUCAAGGGUGUAAAUGGGCUUAGCUAAAUUGUUUCGGUUUUGGGCCUACGGUUUGGGCUUUGUAACAUGGACUGUUUAAAUAAACAAACAUUUAUUUAUUUAUUUUUUGUGUUUCUAUUUUGGUUUUAAGACCCGGUCAAAUUUGGGCUAUUACAGCUGUCCCUCUUUGCUCAUUGCAGUGUAACAGGAAUCGAGCAAAGACUCAUAGAAAGACCAAAUUUGACCGGUCUUAUUAAAUCAUGGUCUUCAGGCUGCUUCUUGCAAACUCAUAACUGUCAUGUUGAUAUCUUCGAUUUGCUCUCCGCCAAACCAAAGACACCAAAUCAGCUUUUUUGAUCUGCUCUCUGACAAUGCAGAAAUGACAAAUCGUCUUGUUUCAAUCUAACCAUCUGAAGGUCAGAUCUGCCAUAUAUCUGCUCCCCAUUGAAUGUGGAGAUGCCAGACUUCGAUUUGUUCUCUGACAAUACAGAGAUACCAAAUCAUCUUAGAUUUGCUUCAUCGUAAAUACGUGAAGCCAAAUCAGCUAUGUCUUUGAUUUGCUCCUCGUAAGCACAGGGAUGCCAAAUCAUCUUGGAUUUAUUUGAGAACAUUUGAGAGUCAAAUCUACUAUGUCCUCGAUUUGUUCCUUGUAAAUACAAGAAUACCAAAUCAUUUUGGAUCUUGCUUCAGUCUAAUCGCCUGAAGAUCAGAUCUGCCACGUAUCUGCUCCCCAUUGAAUGUGGAGGGGCUAGUCUUCGAUUUGUUCUCUAACAAUACAGAGAUGCCAAAUCAUCUUAGAUUUGCUUCAUCGUAAACACGUGAAAGCCAAAUCGGCUAUAUCUUCGAUCUGCUCCCCACCGAAUACAGAGAGAUAAGAUCUGUCAUCUUGGAUCUGCUUCAGCGUAAACAUCUGAAGGUGAGAUCUGCUAUGUGUCUGCCUUCCAUCAAAGUGGAAAUGCCAGACUUCGAUUUGUUUUCUGACAAUACAGACACGACAAAUCAUCUUAGAUUUACUUCAUCGUAAACACAUGAAAGCCAAAUCAGCUAUAUCUUCGAUCUGCUCCCCGCCGAAUACAGAGAGAUAAGAUCUGUCAUCUUGGAUCUGCCCCAAUGAAGGUUAGAUCUGCUAUGCUGCAGCCUAUUACCCUACUAUUUUGGGUUUUAAACCUGUAAAAUGAUUAUGCUUGAUAAUUUAGGAUGCUAUGCUUGAAAUAAGUCGAAUGUUCCUAAUUAAAUAUGUUAUGAUGCAAAAUGUCAUGAAUAUGAUCCCUAUCCUAGACGUCAUCACUCAUUCCUUCAUUUGUCUUUUCUUUUCUCAAUGUUUCAUUCAUGCUCAGCCUGUAAGCCGUCCUCCAAUGCUAUGAUCCACUAAGGAUGUCUGUAAGGACUGAACUGUUGGCUUUGUCUAUUUUCCUUUUGGACUAGAAAGGAAUUCCUCGAGUUCUUUCAUCCCUUACUUACGUGAAUUUCUCGAACAAUUGUCCUGUUUUAGUUUCUUGUAUUAUCUAAAAAUUCCAGAGUAAUGCGCAAAACCUCGUUUGUGAACAUAUUUAAUUCAUCUAUUAUUUUUUCAAUGCAACAUACUUAAAGAAUAAUAGAAAAUGAAUAAACUUUUAAGAAUAAUUGGAUUUGAAUGAAUUAUCAAAAAGAUACAAAAGGGAAUCAAUCUGCUAGCCUAUCUUUUAGAAGAAAUAGAAUCUAAAGAUAGCCAACAAGAUAGAAGUUAGAUCGCCGCUUGAGUGCCUAUACACCAGCUCCAUGAAGUCUUUCUUGAGUUCAACAUAUGUUUAAAAGAUCCCAAGUACUCUGUUGAUGCCCCAGUUUACAGCAUUCUCUGCUCUUUGUAGCAAGAUCAUUGUGUACUCUUCAAAAUUUGAUAUGCCCUUUCAAGUUUUCAACUCAAAACCCCUUUGGUCACAAGGUGCCCUUUGCGGGUUUUCACCUUGGCCUCUCCGUUUUUUUUUUCGAAUCUCAAGGCGCCCUUUGCGAGUUUUCACCUUAGAUUCUCUUCUUCUUUAGACAAAGUAUUUUUUAACUGAGUCUGAGUUCACUGGAUUGGGUAAACUUUUCCCAUCCAUUUCUGCUAAGAUCAAUGCACCACCAGAGAAAGCUUUCUUCACGACAUACGGCCCUUCCCAAUUCGGCAUCCAUUUUCCUCUAAAAUCUUUUUGAAUAGGAAGGAUCUUUUUCAGUACAAGGUCUCCCUCAUGGAAUUCUCUUGGUCGAACUUUCUUGUCAUAAGCUCGCAUCAUUCGCUUCUGAUACAUCUGACCAUGUCGAAUGGCUUUUAGCCUCUUUUCCUCAAUCAAGUUCAACUGGUCAUACCGGGACUGAACCCACUCAGCUUCAUCUAACUUUACCUCCAUUAAAAUUUGAAGAGAAGGUAUUUCUACUUCAAUAGGUAAUACUGCUUCCAUCCCAUAAACUAGCGAGAAUGGAGUUGCCCCAGUAGAGGUUCUGACAGAUGUUCGAUAGGCUAGGAGUGCAAAUGGCAACUUCUCAUGCCAAUCUCUAUAGGUCUCAGUCAUCUUCCCCACUAUUUUCUUAAUAUUUUUGUUGGCAGCUUCCACUGCCCCAUUCAUUUUUGGACGAUAGGGAGAAGAAUUGUGAUGCUUGAUCUUGAACUGGUCACAAACCUCCGCUAUCAUUUUGUUAUUUAAGUUCAAUGCAUUGUCAGAUAUGAUCUUUUCAGGCAUUCUAUAUCGACAAAUGAUCUCCUUCUUCAAGAAUCGAAUCACUGCUAACUUAGUAACAUUCACAUAAGAGGCGGCCUCUACCCACUUUGUAAAGUAGUCAAUUACCACGAAGAUAAACCGAUGUCCAUUCGAAGCUUUCGGUGAUAUUGGUCCAAUAACAUCCAUGCCCCACAUGGAAAAAGGUUAUGGAAAAGUCAUAACAUGCAAAGGUGAAGGUGGAACAUGAAUUUUGUCCCCAUAAAUCUGACAUUUAUGGCACUUCUUGGUGUAGUUAAUACAGUCUCCUUCCAUAGUAGCCCAAUAAUAGCCAAACCUCAUGAUUUGCCUCGCCAUCGUGAACCCAUUUGCAUGUGUUCCGCACACACCUUCAUGAACUUCUUCUAAAAUUAGCUUAGCUUCCACAGCAUCUGCACAUCUCAAAAGUACUUGGUCUUUCUGUCUCUUGUACAGGAUAUCUCCAUCUAAAACAUAGUCGCAAGCUAACCUCCUCAAAGUUCGUUUAUCAUUUUCACUGGCCUGUUCAGGGUAUUUACGAUCUCUCACAUAUCGCAAUAUAUCUUGAUACUAGGGGUUAUUGUCAUUUCCUUCAUUCUCAAUGUUACAACAAUGAGCUAGAGCCUCGUAAACACUCAUUUGAAUCGGCUUCAUUUCUUCUUCUUUAUUCGCCUUGAUCAUUGAGGCCAAGAUUGCUAAAGCAUCUGCCAUCUGAUUUUCCUCUCGUGGGAGAUAAUUGAAGGUGAUGCUACCAAAUUCCUCAAGUAACCCCAAAAUUACCUUUCAAUAACUAAUCAAUUUAGGGUCCCUUGUCUCCCAUUCACCUCUAAGCUGAUAAACAACCAACACUGAAUCUCCAUAUACUUCUAGAGUUUUUAUACCUCGCUCUAUAGCUGCUUGCAGUCCCAUGAUGCAUGCUUCAUACUCAGCCAUAUUAUUCGUGCAAUCAAAAUCCAACUUGUACGUAAAAAGGGUAAUGAUCACCAUUUCCGACUGCAUUAAAAGCCCCAUCAAAAUUGAGCUUCCAAGAAGAAUUUUCAGUUAUUGCUAUACACAUCAACUCCUCUUUUGGAAAAUCGAAGUUCAAUGGCUCAUAAUCCCCUAGAGCCCUACUGGCCAAGAAGUCUGCUACCGCACUUCCUUUUAUAGCCUUAUGACUUAUGUAGACUAUAUCAAACUCUGAAAGCAAAAUUUGCCAUCUCGCCAUUCUCCCAUUUAGAGCCGUUGACUCCAUCAUGUAUUUCAACGGAUCAAGUUUUGAGAUGAGCCAAGUGGUAUGGUAUAGCAUAUAUUGUCUUAAUCUCCGAGUUGUCCAAAUCAGCGCACAACACAACUUUUCAAUUGGUGAACAUCUCAUCUCACAGUCAGUGAAUUUCUUACUGAGAUAAUAAAUUGCCUUCUCCUUUUUCCCUGAUUCGUCAUGCUGGCCAAGCACACAUCCCAUAGAAUUAUUGAACACUAACAAGUACAGUAUUAAUGAUUUAUCUGGCCUUGGUGGAGACAAUACCGGAGCAUUCAACAAAUACUACUUGACCUUUUCAAAAGCAUUCUGACAUUCCUCAUCCCAAGUACCUUGGUUGUGCUUUCUUAGGAGGCGAAAGAUAGGAUCACAUUUCUCGGUUAGUUGUGAAAUGAACCCAGUAAUGUAAUUCAACCUUUUUAGGAAUCCUCGAACUUCCUUCUGAGUACGUGGUGGAGGUAACUCUCGUAUGGCUCUGACCUUGUCUGAGUCGACUUCAAUUCCUUUUUCACUGACUACGAAGCCUAAUAACUUUCCUGAUCUGGCUCCAAAGGUACACUUUGCUAGAUUGAGCUUCAACUGAAAUUUUCUCAACCUCAAGAACAAUCUUCUCAAAACCUCAAUAUGUUCUUUUUCUGUACUCGACUUGGCAAUCAUAUCAUCAACAUAUACCUCAAUAUCCUUAUGCAUCAUAUCGUGGAACAAGUUCACCAUGGCCCUUUGGUAUGUUGCCCCUGCGUUCUUUAAUCCAAACGACAUUACUUUGUAGCAAAAAGUACCCCAUAAGGUUAUGAAGGUGGUUUUAUCCAUGUCCUCUAGAUGCAUCUUUAUCUAAUAGUAUCCUGAGAAACCAUCCAUGAAGGAGAACAACGAAUAUCCUACUGUGUUGUCCACCAAAGUGUCAAUGUGUGGUAAAGGAAAAUUAUCCUUUGGGCUUGCUUUGUUCAGAUCUCUGUAAUCAACACACAUUCGUACUAUCUCAUCCUUCUUAGGAACAGGCACAAUGUUAGCUACCCAUUCAGAGUACUUCACUUCUUGUAAGAAUCCUGCAUCAAACUGCUUCUUGACUUCAUCCUUUAUUUUCAAAACGAUUUAUGGCCUCAUUCUUUGUAACUUCUAUUGGACUGGCUUACAAUCCUAUCUUAUCGGAAGUUGAUGUACCACAAUUUCGGUACUCAAUCUAGGUAUAUCCUGAUAUGACCAGGCGAAAAUAUCUUUGAACUCUCUAAAAAACUCAACCAGACCAUGUCUUGUGUCCUCGUUAAUUAGGGUUCCGAUUUUCAACUCUUUCCCUUCCUCUAGGGUUAUAUUCUCUAUUGCCUCUUUCUCAUGUGGCAUGAUUUGUUUCUCCUCUUGCUUUACCAUUCUUAACAGAUCGAGAGAAAUGUCACAAUCUUGAACAUCUUCAAAAUCUUGAGGUUCCUCUGAACACAUGUUUUGCUCACCAGAGAAAUUAAGAGCUGUAGUAUCAGCACUCAUAUCAUUGAUAUCUAGGGACCUGUGGGUGUAUGAAAGAAUAUACAAAGAAUAAAUGAAUCUAAGAAUGAUUGUUUAUGUGCUAUGAAUGAAAGAAUAAGAAUUUCCAGAAUUUAAAGGAAUAUUGGUCGAUAAAAAUGAAACAAUACUCGUUUAAAUUGAUAAAAGUUAUGUUUUAUUUAAAUAAUUAUAGAUGAACAUAGACCUUUUUCACAAACAUAAUCUUACUACUCCUAGGCCCUAGAGUAACAAACAUGUUUCGGGAAUUACUCUGAAAAGUUUCUAAAGACUACAGGAAGGUCCUCUGCGGUCCAAUUAUUCAGAAAACUCCUCGAUUCGUAAGGGCAAAUGCCCUCAAGGUUUCCUUGCUCCGAUCCCUCAUUAUGUACAGCAUUAACUUGAUGACUUUCCUCUAUCAUCAAUCCUCCUGACCUAAAGGAUUUGGAUAUAGGUGGGAAUGUCAUCUGUUCCCACUCCACUUCUCUUCCAUUCAAACGCGCCUUUCUUCUCGCUUGGCGCUUCUCUAUUUCUUGCCCCUUGUGCUUGUGGUCUGGCUUGAAGCCCAAGCCAAAGCGGUCCUUCUUCUCAAUCAAUUUUGGGAUUUGAACCCCUCCUUGCAACUAUCUUCCUAGCCCCUUUCCCGGCAAUGCUCCUUUCCCUAUCAUCAUUUGCAGGGCCAUCCUAGUGGCUCUAGACAUUUUGGGUACCGGCACCUCGCUUCCUUCCAAAAUGAAGGUGGCAUUAAUGAUUUCUAAAUAGCGAAAAGAACACUCAAUAGCCUCUUCAUUGGCCUCAACAUAAGGGGCCUUGCUGCUGACUGCUGCUAUGAUAUCCUAUUCCGCGUUGAUGGUUAUUAAGCCUCCAUCUGUCACUAACUUCAAUUUUUGGUGCAAUGAAGAAGGCACCGCUCCUGCCGAGUGUAUCCAUAGUCUCCCCAAUAAACAAUUGUAGGAGGGCUUGAUAUCCAUCACUAGAAAAUCAACUUCAUACGUAUUUGGCCCAAUCUCCAGAGGGAUGUCAAUUCGUCCCAUUACUUUUCUUUCAGUUCCAUCGAAGGCUCUUACCACGUUAUGACAUGUUUUCAUAUGUGAACUGUCAAUGGGUAAUCUGUUCAAGGUGGAUAGCGGCAGGACGUUCAAAGCAGACCCAUUAUCCACGAGUACAUUUGGAAGUGUGUAUCCUUUGCACCGAGUAGUGAUGUGUAGGGCUUUGGUUGACCCUAUGCCCCCAAGUGGAAUUUCAUCAUCAUUAAAAUAGAUGAAAUUGUCAACACUGAUGUUGUUUACUAACCGGUCCUGCUUGUUAACGGAUAUGUCAUGGGUGACAUAUGUUUCAUUAAGCACUUUUAACAACGCAUCUCGAUGCGCCUCAGAACUCAAGAGUAGGGCUAAUACUAAUAUACGUGCCGGCUACUUGUGCAACUACUUGACUACGCUAUACUCGCUAUGUUUCAGGAAUUUUAAAAACUCCUUAGCUUCUUCCUCCUUUACCAGCUCAUUGAUGGGUAUUUCAGUCUCCUUUUCCUUUUCAGCCUCGGCAUUUUCUGUCUUUGUGGGCUCCACUCUGAUAUUCCCCCGUCAUAACAUUUCCCACUUCGUGUAUGGGAACCUUCAUUUUGCCUGCCCCUGGCCGCGCUAGCUAUACUCUCCACCUCAGGUAUUGUUAUAUUGCAGUCAUAGCUCCAUGGCACCCUCUUGUCAUCCUUGUAAGGGAAAUGAUUGGGUUUAUGGAUGACUAUUUUGGGCCCAGUUUGUGACCCCGCCUCAUUAUUCCCUGGCAAGGAAAUAAUAAUUCUUGGUUGGCUGGUUCUUUGUCGUUCAUUCUCCAGCACACAUAUUUGUCCUUCACAAGAACUACCCUCAGAAACCUGUAGUUCUUUGUUAACCAUAAGGCCUUGUACCAUGGCCUUGAAUUCUUCACAAUUUUGGAUCAUAUGACCCGCCUCUCCAUGGAAUUCACAAUGGUUCUCUAUUCCUUCUCUUCCUUUUCUAGAGGUCAGCAUACCUCUCUUCACCAUCUCCUCCCAUAUUACUUUCAUAGGUGUCUUCACCUCAGCAAUAUCUUCCUUGACUUUUCCUUUCUUUGUUUCAUCAAUGGCAUUCACUCCUUGAUUGCCAUGAUCCGGUAACAGAUUUUCAGUAUUAGGGGUACUAUCAAAUUUCACAACCCCCAUUUUGAUGAGCCUUUCCACGACCUUCUUGAACCCAGUGUAAUUUUCAAUUGAAUGCCCCGAUAUUCCCGCAUGAUAUUCGCAUUUAGCAUUUGCAUCAUACCAUUUGGGGUACGGUGGUUGCAGCGGUUUUAAGUGAAAUGGAGCAAUGGCAUGUGCAUCGUAUAAGCUUUGAUAAAGCUCACGAUAUGUCACAGGGAUAGGAGUGAAUUGCAUCCUCUCCGAAUUCUGUCUUGUACCCGAUCCCUGUCUUUGAGUACUUUGUUGCUCACCCGUAGCUGAUUUAGGUUAUCCAACUAUGAUUGCCCUAGAGUUGAAAAUGUUCAUGUUGUUCACCUCAUUGUCUUUUCUCCUUGGGGCCGAUCUUUUAGCCACUUUCCCCUCGAUUUUACCACCCCUCACGGCAUUCUCAAUCAUCUCACCUGUCAUAACUAUAUCCGCGAAACUUUUCGUGGUGCUUCCAAUUAUAUGUGUAAUGAAUGGCGCCUUCAAAGUAUUAAUAAAUAACAUGGUGGUUUCCUUUUCCAACAAUGGUGGUUGUACUUGCAUUGCCACCUCCCUCCAUCGUUGUGCAUAUUGACUAAAACUUUCAUUAGGCUUUUUCUCCAUGUUUUGAAGUGUGAUCCUAUCUGGCGUCAUAUCAGUCACAUGGUUACACUGUUACAUGAAAGCUUGUGUGAGAUCUCUCCAUGAACUGAUUCUUGCACGGCUCAACUGAUUGUACCACCUAGCCGCUGCUCCCACUAGGCUGUCCUGAAAACAAUGGAUCAAUAGUUGAUCGUUAUUCACGUAACCAGUCAUUCUUCUACAAAACAUUGUUAUGUGUGCCUCUGGGCAAGUAGUCCCGUUGUACUUUUCAAACUCUAGCAUUUUAAAUUUAUGAGGAAGCACCAAAUCUGGAACCAAACUUAAGUCUUUGGCAUCAAUCCCAUGAUGAUUGCCAGUGCCUUCUAAAACCCUAAACUUCUCCACUAACCACCUGCAACAAUCUUCCAAUUGUUUCAAGGAUUCAGUGGCCAUUCUUUCCUUCUCCAUUAAAUCUAAAUUAGGAGUAAUAGGGUUGAUCGAGCUAUCACCCAAAUUAUUUCCCAACCCAGAUGGGAAAUUUACGGGGAUUCCAGCAUCCACUGGCCCAUGUUGAGGCCUCACGGUGACAGUUGGCCUUCUAGGAGGUGCCUCAGUUUGCAGGGGCACAUGAGGCAGAGUAAAACCCGGAGGAGGAUCUUCAUUCUCCUCUUUAGUGAUCGCCAUGGGAGCUUUUCCUUUAUCAGUGGUUCUUAGCAGCUGAGCCAUUUCAGCCAUCAUGUUUCUCUGAGCCUCUAGCAUCUGCUCCCUCAUUUCAUUCUGCAUUUUGGCCAACUGUUCUUGCAUUUGAUCUUGCAUGUCUUUUUGUAAUUGCUCGAACCUUUGAACCAUGCUCUUAGUUUUAGUACGAGUGCCGUAAGGAUGUGUGAUUUCCAGAUUUUCUUUUCUACCUUUUAAAGUAAACUUUAACUAAUCAGGGUCUUUCUAUAACUUUGAAUGCAAAUGAUAUGAUGAAAUGCUAUGAGAUGCAAAUGCAUGAAUGCAAAAAGGAUAUCGAUUCUGGUUCAACUUCAUUUAGAAAAUUUUAUUUAGAAAAAGAAUGUCUUUACAUAUAAGAGGAUUACAAAUACGCUUUCGCCCUAAGGCCCAAAGCUUUAACUCUAUCUAAUAAAAGGGCUAACUCUCAUCCUACAUCCGACGAUGAUGAAUACAUCGGACUCAAUACAUCAGCUCGAAUUGCUAAGUCUUGCACAUGUUCGGCGACCUCUCGAAUCUGGGCUAUGGCCUCACCAAUGACAUGAUCCAUUUCUCUGACCUGUCCCUUAGCCUGAUGAAGCUCUCCCUUCAAAUAGCCCUCCUGCGCCUCGAGCUGCUCAACCCGGAGUUCACCGUCAUGCAAUGCCAUUUCAAAUCCUCAACCUUGCUUUUUAGCUCCUUUAACUCGAUCGUAGAGUUAUGGUUUUUGUGCCAAUGUAGGGAUCUUCCAAGCUCAGUUACCCUAGUCUUCAACCCUUUAUUUUCUUCCUCUAAUGCCAAAUUCUGUACCUACAUCUCUUGGAACUUCCUCUCCCAAUACUCGGCCCUAGCCUUUUCCUUUUGGACCUCCUUCUGCAACUGAUCUGAAGAUCUUUCUACUCUCGCCCUUCUUAAGGAUAAUUGUACCCUUUUGUAAUGUUCCUUUAGAUCAUCUCGAUCUUCCUCAAUCUUCCUCUUUUCUUUUCUCUCUUUCUCGAGCUCUAUCUUUUGAACAUCGACUUCCAAACUCAAGUACAUAUUUUCCUCUUCGAGCUUUGCUAUCCUCUUCUCAAACUCCAAGUUCUUUCUCUCGAACUCCUGUUUCAUAAUUUCUGACUCUGAGGGCCUUACUUGCAAAUAUUCUUCCAUCGGUCGAGCUUCUUCCACACUUGGCUUAGGGAUAUUAUCGUUAACCCUUCUGCCUCUCCAUUCAAUGUAUUCUGGUAUGGUUACAGGACUAAUAGCUACUCAUUUCAACCGACAAGUCUUUUUCCAAGCACUAGAAAUUUCACUAACCUUCCUUUUGUAAUCGGCUCCUCUAUAUACGAACUCACUUUGAGCCAACCCUUGAGUCGCUGGUACAAACUGUCUCAAUCCAUGCUGCCUCAGCACAGCAACGGAGCAUAACCAAUGGCACCCCAAAUUCCCAGUAGGGGUACCCAAUCAAAAAUGCCGCUUCGAUAAAGAACCUCACCAGGCAUCAUCCACGGAGCCCUCCACUCGACAUCUUUCGACUGAAGGUUCUGAAGUAGCGCUAUCCAAUUCUCUUCUAGAACAUCAACUCUCCUAGUUGAAGCUGCUAUAUCUUUCAACGGUGAAUAGUCCUCGAAGAAAACCCGACAAACCAUCCUGUCUAUUAACCGGAAAUGACUGUAGAACUAAGCCAAAAGCAACUGAGCACACCCUAUAAACCUGCCAGCACCAGCCCUCCUACAUGCACCUAAAGAUCUGAAUGUUUUCGCCAAAAUUGCAGGGACAGAAGCGACCUUUUUACUGAGUCGAUGAAAAAGAUCCGUGGUUGCCUCAUCCACAUAUCCCAAAGCCCUAGGGAAAACCAUCAAUCCAUACAAACUCAAGGCAAAAACAUCUACCUUCUUCAUCUCAUCAGGGUGUGUCAGAAUCAAAUCUUUCAAAGCGUCCCACGAAAUGCACUUGUACUCACCCUUUUCCUUAAUUCGGGCCGUGGCCCACUGCUCGCUCAUCCCUGUAAUAAUCAUCAAUUUCUUCCAAAAGGUAGGGACACAAGCAGCUCGAGAAUAGAUCCUAUCAUUCUGAAAUCUGGGACAACGGAGCAAGGCCAUGUACUCCUCCACAGUAGGUACCAUGUCUACUUCCCCAAAAGUGAAGCAAUUGUACGUCGGGUUCCAAAACUGAGCAAGGGCUCAGAAUAAGUGCUCGUCUAUCUGAACAUCAAGCAAGUAAGGUAAGUCUCCAUAAUUAUCGUAGAAUAACUACUUCGUCUCUUUGCCCCACUGAUCUCAAAUUUCCUUAAGCUCUUGGAGAUUAUUCUGUGUGACACUAAUACGAGUAUAAUCUGAUAGCUCCGACACAUAUCCCAUAGUUAUACUGUCCCCCUUUUCUAGUUGAGUUUGCUCAGACCAUCUAUGGACGUUAGCGUUGCCCUCCACUCUAUCAAGAAGUCCGUUCUCCAUAAUAAAACUUCCUAACUUAGAAACUGACCGUGAAUCGAUACCUUUGUAAAUGCAAAAUGACAUGCGAACAAAAGAAAAGAAAUAGUUAGUAUCACAUGAUAUCAAUAAAUCUCAACGAUAAUUUAUAAGGGUAAUAUCUAAAGUUUAACUCUAACCAAGUUGGGCUCUUACGGUUUUUCUAUAUGAGGUUGGUUCUAAAGUUUGAGGUACCUGAACCAGCAGAUUCCUCGAUUCUCACCCAUUAUAAGCUCAUUUGAAUCGAGUUCAGUUUAGGGGAAUACAUUUCCCUAUGGCUACACGGAGAUGAAAAUCUCACGAAACCAUAGGUACGGAUGUAUCCCAAAAGUGAUCCACUAUCCUGCACGGAGGCGAAAACCUCAUGAAAGUGUAGUUUCUCAUUCCCACUUAAGGGUGUGACCACAACGGUCAUGCAAAUGCAAUGCGCAUCAGAAUAUAGCAACACAUGCAAUAAUACAAACACAUGUAAUGCAAAGAGGAUUAGAUUUUAAAAUUUUUAAUUUCCGACAUUAAGACAAGAUAUAAUCAAUUACACGACUUGACUCUCUUAUGAAGUCCCCAGUGGAGUCGCCAAGCUGUCGAGACCAUUUUUAAAUCGAGUUUUGUAAAAUGGGAAUCGAUUUAAAAAAAACGAAAAUGGGAGUCGCCACCAAUCUUUUUAGGUGUGAUUGGAUCACCUUUAAAACAUUUUGUUUUAAAAUUAUUAGUUCUGGUCCACAAAAUAAAAGAACGGGUUCGGGAGUCGGUUACAUACGAGGAAGGAUUAGCACCCUCAUAACGCCCAAAAAAUUGGUACCUAAUUGAUUAUCAAAUGUCUUUAAUGUCGGAAAUUUAAAGAAAUUUAAGAUGUAAUCCUCUUUAAAAUACUUUGAUUCUGAAAAUUUGGGUUCACUCGUAUCAAAACAUUGACACUAAGUUAACCUUUUGGAAAUCCCUAUCUCGAAACGUCAAAUCGUCACAUCCAAUAAGUUAGGACACAGCGCUUUGAAAUUCCAAGACAGUUGCUCGUAUUUUGAAAAUCUUAAAAACUUAGAAGGGUACUUGACUAUUCGAACUCAACGAGAAAAGUCGCAACCCAAUAAAUUAGGGCACUACUUUUCUCGAAGCUUCCAAACACCGAGCAUUGCCUUUUUAUUUUUAUUUUUGAAAAGUUUGAAGUCUCAUUUUUUAAAUCAAUGCAUGAAGGUACAUAUUAAUAUAACAUAUGAGAUAACAUGUUACAAUGAUAGGAAAGUAAGAGCAUAACGGCAUAAAUAUCAUACACUAAUCAACAUAUAUAAGAAAUAAAACAUGACAAUUUUUUAAAUAAGAAAAAUAUACAUAAAACGGAAUACAUAUUAAAGAAGAAAUAGGUAAAAUCCCUAAACAUAUAAUUCAACAUAUAUUUAAUCACAUAAAUGAUGCAUGAUAUACAAUAUAUCAAUGUACAUAAAAAAAUAAUAUGCAUUUGAAAAUAAAAUAUAAAAGUCUAAGAUAUUACAUAACAUAUAACAUAACAAAAAUACAUUAAUACUAAAGUAAAAAUAAAUAUUGUAUAAUAAAAAAAAACAAAAGUUUAAAAAAAUAUAUGUAUAAUACAAACAAAUAAUAAAAUGUGAUAUUUAAUAAUAUAAUAAAAAUAAUUAUAAGAAUAAUAAUUACAUAAAAAAUAUAAAAGAUAUUGGUUUAGUAAAAUAAUGUAAAGAAUAUGAAAUAUGUAAAAGUAUUUAUAUUUAUAAUGAAAUAAUUAUAAUAUAUAAAUAUAAGUUUAAAAUGAAUAAUUAAUAAUGAAAUCUACGUAUUAUACAAAUUAUAAUAUUAUAAUAUCUUCAAAAUGUGUAAUAAUAGAAUAUAAAUAAAAUAAUUAUUAACAUAUAAAUAAAAAAUAAAUAUAUAAUACAAGUUUAAAACCUUUAAUGAUAAUAAUAUAUAGAUAAAAAUGGAUAAUAAUAUAAAAAUGACAUAAUAAUAUAUAAUAUAAUUAUAAUGUAUAAUAUAAAGGUAUAUAUAUAUAAAUAAUAUAUAAUAUAAUUAAUAAAUAUAUAAUAUAAUAAUAUAUAAAUAAUAAUGUAAAAUAAUAAUAAUUUAUGAAAAAUAAUACAUAAUAAAUAAUAAUAUAAAUAAUAUAUAAUAAAAUAAUUCUAUAACAUAAAAAAUAAGGUUAAAAAAAUAAAACAAAUAACAAUGUAAAAUAUAUAUAUAAUAAUAAUGAUAAAUAUAUAGGGUUAGAUUUGAAAUUCAAUAAAAUUACAGGGCAAAUUUAAAAAAAUAACAUUGGAUUAAGGUCCUAAUUGAAACGCGCGAAAAACGAAAGGGACUCAUUGGGAAAAAUACCCUAUUCCCAAAACGUCUGCGCUUUAAUUCUGUGUUUAAAAAAAGGUCAGGGAUCAUAUUGAAAUCAAAAUAAAAAUAAUGGGAAAAAAUUAAAAAUUGCAAUAAACUUAAUUUGACAGAUAAAAAGACGAAAGGACUAAAGGGAAAAUUAUCCCAUUUUCUUAAAACACGCGGACCCUCCGGGUCGGAUCUUGGGCCCUAUAUAAGUUAAAUUUUGAUUUUAAAAUUCAUUUCUAACACCCAUUUUUUUUUUUAAAAAAAAAACAAAAAUCUCUGAAACCCCCUCUCCGUCCUUUGGCCUGAGUUCCAACAACGGCCGAUGACCACCGUUCACGCGCCUCACGCGCCAUCGUACACGGUGGUCGGAGGUUCUAAAUAUCUCCCCUUUCCAGGCAAAUCACAGGUAUAAUUUCUCCUCUUUAUUUUUAAAAGUAUUUUCCUGUAUUACAACUCAAAAAUGAACUGUUUUCUCUUUGCUUUUUUAAAAUCUGUUUCUGGAUCGUUUGUUGUAUUAAAAAUACAUGUAUGUAUAUAAUAAAAAAGAAAGAAAAUAAUAGAGAAUAAAAAUAGUAAAACCUUUGAAUCUGCUGUUUUCGUAUUGAACCUAUGUAUUUUUUAUUGCUUCUUUGUGUGUAUUUUUCAGAACAUAACUUUUACAAGUGAAAUGAAAGGCUUUAUAGCCUUGGUCCCUUACAUAUUCUGGGAAAGAAAUCUAAGAUUUCUUUCCAUUCUAUGUCUUCUGUAUAUUUGAUUGAUAUAUUGUGAUUUUCUUGCCAUUUCUGCUUUGCUUUUUUUCGCGUAUCUUCUGUUUGUUUCCUUUUCUUGCAGGUAUCAUCGAGGAAUCCGACAGUGACCGUGCUGGUGUGGAUUCGCGCGCUGAUCAUGGAGGCAGAGUCAUGGCGCUGAUGGAGGGCAGCUGAAACAACGGGAGUUGAAGAGGCGCAACCCUUAGGCUGAUUGCGGCGCGAACCCUAGCUAGGGUUUCUCUGCUGCUGAAAAUAAGUUAGGCUAAUUGGGCCAAUUAAAUAUUGGGCUAGUUUAGUAUAUCUGGGGUAGGGUAUAACUGGGUAUGGUUUUUGGGUCAAGGGUGUAAACGGGCUUAGCUGAAUUGUUUCGAUUUUGGGCCUACGGUUUGGGCUUUGUAGCAUGAACUGUUUAAAUAAACAAACAUUUAUUUAUUUAUUUUUUGUGUU
rnacentral:lncRNA from 1 species